rnacentral:rRNA from 1 species
GAUGAACGCUGGCGGCGUGCCUAAUACAUGCAAGUCGAGCGAACGGACGAGAAGCUUGCUUCUCUGACGUUAGCGGCGGACGGGUGAGUAACACGUGGAUAACCUACCUAUAAGACUGGGAUAACUUCGGGAAACCGUAGCUAAUACCGGAUAAUAUUUUGAACCGCAUGGUUCAAAAGUGAAAGACGGUCUUGCUGUCACUUAUAGAUGGAUCCGCGCUGCAUUAGCUAGUUGGUAAGGUAACGGCUUACCAAGGCAACGAUGCAUAGCCGACCUGAGAGGGUGAUCGGCCACACUGGAACUGAGACACGGUCCAGACUCCUACGGGAGGCAGCAGUAGGGAAUCUUCCGCAAUGGGCGAAAGCCUGACGGAGCAACGCCGCGUGAGUGAUGAAGGUCUUCGGAUCGUAAAACUCUGUUAUUAGGGAAGAACAUAUGUGUAAGUAACUGUGCACAUCUUGACGGUACCUAAUCAGAAAGCCACGGCUAACUACGUG